GGAAUACUAGCUUAAUGGAAGAGUAGUCGGCUUUUAACCGAUUGGUUCUGGGUUCGAUUCCCAGGUAUUCCA
rnacentral:tRNA from 1 species